rnacentral:rRNA from 1 species
GAUGAACGCUGGCUGUGUGCCUAAUACAUGCAUGUCGAGCGAAGCACUUUUGUGCUUAGCGGCGAAUGGGUGAGUAACACGUACUUAACCUACCCUCAAGAUUGGGACAACACUUGGAAACGAGUGCUAAUACCAAAUACGUAUUUUUAUCGCAUGAUAGAUAUAUAAAAGGAGCUUCGGCUUCACUAGAGGAUGGGAGUGCGCUACAUUAGUUAGUUGGUAGGGUAAUGGCCUACCAAGACUAUGAUGUAUAGCGGGGCCGAGAGGCUGAUCCGCCACACUGGGACUGAGAUACGGCCCAGACUCCUACGGGAGGCAGCAGUAGGGAAUUUUCCACAAUGAACGAAAGUUUGAUGGAGCGACACAGCGUGCAGGAUGAAGGUCUUCGGAUUGUAAACUGCUGUUAUAAGAGAAGAAAAACCCUGGUAGGUAAUGACCAGGACUUGACGGUACCUUAUCAGAAAGCGACGGCUAACUAUGUGCCAGCAGCCGCGGUAAUACAUAGGUCGCAAGCGUUAUCCGGAAUUAUUGGGCGUAAAGAGUUCGUAGGUGGUUUUGUAAGUCUGAAGUUAAAUACCGGGGCUCAACCCCGGCCCGCUCUGGAUACUGCAAAACUAGAGUAAUAGAGAGGUUAGUGGAACUCCAAGUGAAGCGGUGGAAUGCGUAGAUAUUUGGAAGAACACCAAUGGCGAAAGCAACUAACUGGAUAUUUAACUGACACUGAGGAACGAAAGCGUGGGUAGCAAACAGG